CCUGCCUCAUACAGGGGGAUAACAGUUAGAAAUGACUGCUAAUACCGCAUAAGACCACAGAGCCGCAUGGCUCGGUGGGAAAAACUCCGGUGGUAUGAGAUGGACCCGCGUCUGAUUAGGUAGUUGGUGGGGUAACGGCCUACCAAGCCAACGAUCAGUAGCCGACCUGAGAGGGUGGCCGGCCACAUUGGGACUGAGACACGGCCCAAACUCCUACGGGAGGCAGCAGUGGGGAAUAUUGCACAAUGGGGGAAACCCUGAUGCAGCGACGCCGCGUGAGCGAAGAAGUAUUUCGGUAUGUAAAGCUCUAUCAGCAGGGAAGAAAAUGACGGUACCUGACUAAGAAGCACCGGCUAAAUACGUGCCAGCAGCCGCGGUAAUACGUAUGGUGCAAGCGUUAUCCGGAUUUACUGGGUGUAAAGGGAGCGUAGACGGCUGUGUAAGUCUGAAGUGAAAGCCCGGGGCUCAACCCCGGGACUGCUUUGGAAACUAUGCAGCUAGAGUGUCGGAGAGGUAAGUGGAAUUCCCAGUGUAGCGGUGAAAUGCGUAGAUAUUGGGAGGAACACCAGUGGCGAAGGCGGCUUACUGGACGAUGACUGACGUUGAGGCUCGAAAGCGUGGGGAGCAAACAGGAUUAGAUACCCUGGUAGUCCACGCCGUAAACGAUGACUACUAGGUGUCG
rnacentral:rRNA from 1 species